UUUUCGGAGGGAAAUAUGAAAGUUAUUUUUAUUAUCCUAGUCUAAGGAGAAAAAACUCAAAGUAUUAUCCAUUUUUUCUAUUCCUGUGACAUGAUAUGAAGUCUCCUCCAAAGAAAAUAUUUGUAUGUAUCACCUGUCCUUUCAAAAAGCAAUGAAUUUAUUUGUUUCUGUUAUGGCAAUAUUCACAGUGAUUUUCUAGUCAAUUCCUUUCACCAAGUAAACUUUAUAUGCCUUGUCAAAAAAAAAACCCAGAUGAAUCAUUGUAGGUGCUACCUGUCGACAGAGAAUGCCUACUUGUGUAAAGCACAUUUGGUUUCGUUCAAUAUUAAAAUCUAGAUAUCAUGGACCUGUUAGCAGACGAGAAAACUAAAACUGUUAAAAAAAGGAAUGAUUUAGUUUUAAAUUAAAACAUGUAAUAAAAAGUUUAUCCAACCGAUUUUUUUUUCCUUUGUGAGGCAGUUGAAAGCACAUAAAUUAAAUGCAAACAUAUAUGUUGUUCUCUACAUCAAAUUCAAUUUAAUUAUUUAUUUCAGCCCUUAUUACAAACCAUAUCAGGCGUGUCUCAAGGUGGCAAAGUGUUACAGAUUUAUGAAGCAAAGUGCUUUGGACGAUAUACUCUACAUUACAGAUCUGCAGAUUUGAUAUCCAAAGUAAUAAACAAGAAUGAGAUAGAAAGGGAAGCUUUGAGAUCUGUGGCAGAUAACGUACUUUUCGGGCAUACUUACGAUGAAGAUGAUUUAGACACAAUAUACGAGUUAAUACAGAACAGAGAGAGAAUCAUGGAGACCCAACCAAGGGUAGAGGACGAUGAAAAUAAUUGGUAUAAGGAGAAAUACUCUACAAUUCCAAGGCUCGGUACGAGAGUUCGCCGGGGUCCACACUGGAGAUUCCAGAAUCAAGAUAGCGAGGGCAUCGGAACCAUAGUGGGUCAUGGGGAUAAAGUUGGUUUAGUGCUCGUAGAAUGGGAUAAUGGGUGUCGUUGUGUAUAUAAAUAUGGAAUAGGAAAUACAUACG